UACGGAGGGGGCUAGCGUUGUUCGGAAUUACUGGGCGUAAAGCGCACGUAGGCGGCUUUGUAAGUUAGAGGUGAAAGCCCGGGGCUCAACUCCGGAAUUGCCUUUAAGACUGCAUCGCUAGAAUUGUGGAGAGGUAAGUGGAAUUCCGAGUGUAGAGGUGAAAUUCGUAGAUAUUCGGAAGAACACCAGUGGCGAAGGCGACUUACUGGACACAUAUUGACGGCUGAGAAGCGAAAGCAUGGGGAGCGAACAGG
rnacentral:rRNA from 1 species